rnacentral:lncRNA from 1 species
AAAUAAGUGAAUGUCCCCAAAGCCCCUGGCACAGUGUUGCCCACAAUAAGCAUGAAUAAACGUCUGUUUCCUUCCUCCCUUCCUCUCUCCCGUCCUGUCCUCCUCCCAAUGAAAUAUUCUAUUGUCAUCUAGGUCAGUAUCCUGGGCCGACUGAUGUGGCACAGCUGCUUCCUCUGGAGUCCGUGAAAACCUCUUGGUCCACAUUCUUCCCUCAUGGCUGGAGCAACUCGGAGCUUUCUGCAGUUGGUGGGAUUCUGGGGCUCCGAGGACUCAAAACCAAAUUGGAGAGAAGGUAGAAGCCUUAAGGAGCUGAAGUCUGGAAAGUCAAAGAACUUCCUAAUCACCUGUUCUGAGCCCCGCCUUGAGGAUGAAGACAGGGAGGACAGAGUUGCAGCAGCCCUGUGCUGGCGGCCAGGGCAGGUACACAGAGGCAAUGGAUGAAAGGACAAAGCAGACUGAUGAGCAUGACUAGACAAGUGUGCAUGGGGAGCAGGAGUGGGAGGGGCUGCCACAGCCUGGAAGAAUC